rnacentral:lncRNA from 1 species
UUGAGGAGCUAAAACAUCUGCUUAUAACUGCCUCUGUUUUAGCUUUGCCUUCCCUAGAAAAGCCAUUUCACCUUUCUGUUAACAUAAAUAAGGGGGUAGCUUUAGGGGUCCUUACCCAAGAACACGGAGGUCACCAGCAACCCAUGGAUCUCCUAUCGAAAGUUUUAGAUCCAGUAACCUGUGGAUGGCCUGAAUGUUUCAAUCCAUUGCUAGGGACCUCAAGCUAAGUGUGAUGCAGUCCUCGGGGUCUACAGAUGUAUAGGAAUUUAUAUUUUGGCAAGACAAGUUACAGAUAGUUGCCUGGUAUGUAAGAAGACUAAUAAGCAGAUCCUCAGAAAACCACAUGUUGGAGGGAGAAAUCCAGGAUUAAGGCUGUUCCAAGCUAUUCCCUUUUCAAGUGCAACUGCUAGUAAUGUACUCAAGGCAUUAG